rnacentral:rRNA from 1 species
AUUGAACGCUAGCGGGAUGCUUUACACAUGCAAGUCGAACGAGUGGCGGACGGGUGAGUAAUAUAUCGGACCGUGCCCAGUAGCGGGGGAUAACUACCCGACAGAGCGGCUACUACCGCAUUCCAUUGGAUCGGCCGGUAUCGGAUUAGCUAGUUGGUGGGGUAAAGGCUCACCAAGGCCACGAUCCGUAGCUGGUUUGAGAGGAGGACCAGCCACACUGGAACUGAGACACGGCCCAGACUCCUACGGGAGUCAGCAGUGGGGAAUUUUGGACAAUGGGGGAAACCCGGAUCCAGCCAUCCCGCGUGUAUGAGAAGGUCUUCGGGGUGUAAAGUACUUUUGGCAGAGAAGCGGUAUCUGCAGAAUAAGCACCGGCUAACUACGUGCCAGCAGCCGCGGUAAUAC